GUGAAUCAUCGAAUCUUUGAACGCAAAUUGCACUCUCCGGUUUUCCGGGAGAGUAUGCCUGUUUGAGGGUAUGUUUAACACAUAAUCGAGGCUGCUGCUGUGGAGGCAGUUCGGAAUUGGGGGAUCUUUCCUCUCUCGGUUGUAAGCGACCUAAAUUUUUUUUUACGAUUUCUACGAAAGUGUCUAAGAAUUUCUUGUACGUUCUGG
rnacentral:misc_RNA from 1 species